GACGAACGCUGGCGGCGUGCUUAACACAUGCAAGUCGAACGGAAAGGCCCUGCUUUUGUGUGGUUCUCGAGUGGCGAACGGGUGUGUAACACGUGAGUAACCUGCCCUUUACUUGGGGAUAACUUCAGGAAACUGGGGCUAAUACCUGAUAGGAGCUCCUGCUGCAUGGGGGUGGUUGGAAAGUUUCGGCGGUGGGGGAUGGACUCGCGGCUUAUCAGCUUGUUGGUGGGGUAGUGGCUUACCAAGGCUUUGACGGGUAGCCGGCCUGAGAGGGUGACCGGCGACAUUGGGACUGAGAUACGGACCAGACUCCUACGGGAGGCAGCAGUGGGGAAUAUUGCACAGUGGGCGGAAGCCUGAUGAAGAAACGCCGCGUGCGGGAUGACGGCCUUCGGGUUGUAAACCGCUUUCGCCUGUGACGAAGCGUGAGUGACGGUAAUGGGUAAAGAAGCACCGGCUAACUACGUG
rnacentral:rRNA from 1 species